GAUGAACGCUGGCGGCGUGCCUAAUACAUGCAAGUCGAGCGAACAGAUAAGGAGCUUGCUCCUUUGACGUUAGCGGCGGACGGGUGAGUAACACGUGGGUAACCUACCUAUAAGACUGGAAUAACUCCGGGAAACCGGGGCUAAUGCCGGAUAACAUUUAGAACCGCAUGGUUCUAAAGUGAAAGAUGGUUUUGCUAUCACUUAUAGAUGGACCCGCGCCGUAUUAGCUAGUUGGUAAGGUAACGGCUUGCCAAGGCAACGAUACGUAGCCGACCUGAGAGGGUGAUCGGCCACACUGGAACUGGGACACGGUCCAGACUCCUACGGGAGGCAGCAGUAGGGAAUCUUCCGCAAUGGGCGAAAGCCUGACGGAGCAACGCCGCGUGAGUGAUGAAGGUCUUCGGAUCGUAAAACUCUGUUAUUAGGGAAGAACAAAUGUGUAAGUAACUGUGCACGUCUUGACGGUACCUAAUCAGAAAGCCACGGCUAACUACGUG
rnacentral:rRNA from 1 species